AGUUGAAAAAGGCAAAACUAUUGAAAGAUAGUGACUGCAAAGCUAUGGGUCUAAAACUGUUAAGUGCAGCUAUGAUCGCCAGGCUACCAAC
rnacentral:ncRNA from 1 species